rnacentral:rRNA from 1 species
GACGAACGCUGGCGGCGUGCUUAACACAUGCGAGUCGAACGGAAAGGCCUGCUUUCCCUUGUGGAUUGCGGGUACUCGAGUGGCGAACGGGUGAGUAACACGUGAGUGAUCUGCCCCCAACUUGGGUAUAAGCCUGGGAAACUGGGUCUAAUUCCCGAUAGGACUGCAGGGUGGUGCCUGUGGUGGAAAACGAUUUUCUAGUGGUUGGGGAUGAGCUCGCGGCCUAUCAGCUUGUUGGUGGGGUAAUGGCCUACCAAGGCGGCGACGGGUAGCCGGCCUGAGAGGGUGGACGGCCACAUUGGGACUGAGAUACGGCCCAGACUCCUACGGGAGGCAGCAGUGGGGAAUAUUGCACAAAGGGCGGAAGCCUGAUGCAGCGACGCCGCGUGGGGGAUGACGGCCUUCGGGUUGUAAACUCCUUUCGACCGCGAGGAAGCCACCUGGUUGGAAGGGUGGUGACGGUAGUGGUAGAAGAAGCACCGGCUAACUACGUG